CGCGUGUACUGGUCCGGCCGGGCCUUUCCUUCUGGAGAUCCCCAUGCCCUUCACUGGGUGUGCGGGGGAACCAGGACUUUUACUUUGAAAAAAUUAGAGUGUUCAAAGCAGGCCUUUGCUCGAAUACGUUAGCAUGGAAUAAUAGAAUAGGACGUGCGGUCCUAUUUUGUUGGUUUCUAGGACCGCCGUAAUGAUUAAUAGGGAUAGUCGGGGGCAUCAGUAUUCAAUUGUCAGAGGUGAAAUUCUUGGAUUUAUUGAAGACUAACUACUGCGAAAGCAUUUGCCAAGGAUGUUUUCAUUAAUCAGUGAACGAAAGUUAGGGGAUCGAAGACGAUCAGAUACCGUCGUAGUCUUAACCGUAAACUAUGCCGACUAGGGAUCGGGCGAUGUUUUUUUCUUGACUCGCUCGGCACCUUACGAGAAAUCAAAGUUUUUGGGUUCUGGGGGGAGUAUGGUCGCAAGGCUGAAACUUAAAGAAAUUGACGGAAGGGCACCACCAGGCGUGGGAGCCUGCGGCUUAAUUUGACUCAACACGGGGAAACUCACCAGGUCCAGACAUGGCAAGGAUUGACAGAUUGAGAGCGCUUUCUUGAUUCCAUGGGUGGUGGUGCAUGGCCGUUCUUAGUUGGUGGAGCGAUUUGUCUGGUCAAUUCCGAUAACGAGCGAGACCUCGGCUGCUAAAUAGCGAAACAAGCCUGCUUGUGGAUGCUUCUUAGCGGGACACCCGG
rnacentral:rRNA from 1 species